AAUGUUUCAACUUGGAGAGAUCAGAUUCAAUUUUGGAGCUCCAGACCCCUCACCCAGGAUGCAAAGCAUGCAUGGUGAAAGAAUUUGUCCUCACUCCUGACUGUUUCAUGGGAGAUCCUUGGUUAUGGCACCACUACUUGGAUAAGAUCAUAUUCAUCACUCAAACCCCGGACCCUUCACCCAAGACUCAAAAUAUGCACCUUUGGAGCCUCUGUCUUCACUGCUGACUGAUUGAUCAAGGAUCUAUUGUUAUAAUGCUGCAACUCUGAGAGUACAGAUUCAUCACUGGAGCCCUGGAGCCCUCACUCAGGAUGCUGGGUGUGAAACUUUGAAGACGUUGUCUUCAUUCCUGACUAAUUUCUUGAGGAUCUUUUGAUUUGGUAAAGUAAUCCUUUGUGAACAAAGAUGUAACAUUUACAUUUUUCCUGCCUGAUCUGCUACAAUUUGGAAAUUCUUAGUGAGUAUUCUUAUUUAUAUUGCAAUAAAAUUAUUUGCAUAAAUUCAA